GACGAACGCUGGCGGCGUGCUUAACACAUGCAAGUCGAACGAUGAUGCCCAGCUUGCUGGGUGGAUUAGUGGCGAACGGGUGAGUAACACGUGAGUAACCUGCCCCUGACUCUGGGAUAAGCGUUGGAAACGACGUCUAAUACUGGAUAUGACUACUGGUCGCAUGGCCUGGUGGUGGAAAGAUUUUUUGGUUGGGGAUGGACUCGCGGCCUAUCAGCUUGUUGGGGAGGUAAUGGCUCACCAAGGCGACGACGGGUAGCCGGCCUGAGAGGGUGACCGGCCACACUGGGACUGAGACACGGCCCAGACUCCUACGGGAGGCAGCAGUGGGGAAUAUUGCACAAUGGGCGAAAGCCUGAUGCAGCAACGCCGCGUGAGGGAUGACGGCCUUCGGGUUGUAAACCUCUUUUAGUAGGGAAGAAGCGAAAGUGACGGUACCUGCAGAAAAAGCACCGGCUAACUACGUGCCAGCCGCCGCAGUAACAC
rnacentral:rRNA from 1 species